UCCUCUACCCAUCUACUGUCAACCCCUCAAAUGGUGAAAUCCCAAUCGGCAGCAAUGGCAAUCGAGUGCCUUACCUGCAACUCCUCCCCUCCAAUCUUGAAAAGACCCCAAAGGUCACCAACGUUACAUCCGUAAUAAAUUACCGACAAAAAUCCCUACUCCCAACACAAACUCUCUCGUCCACUUCCCAAGAUGUGACAAUGGAGGCUUUUAUGAUGGGAAACCAAUUAUCCUCCCACAUUUCAAACCUCUCCAAUUCCAGUAAAUAAAAAAAAAAUCCAAAAAUGGGAAAAAACCAGACGCCAAGAAAGUCACCCUAAUAGUGGAGAACCAGGCACACCUUGC
rnacentral:lncRNA from 1 species